rnacentral:misc_RNA from 1 species
AACCGCCGUAUACGGAACCGUACGUACGGUGGUGUGAGAGGUCGGAGGUUAAUCACCUCCUCCUAUUCGAU